GGCUAGAACACCUGAAGACCUGGGGGGGGGGGGAGUACACCUGGACUGGCCAUGUCUGAAGAAAUGGCAAACAAGGAAAACCAUAAUCCUGAGGCUAAGUCAAAAAGUAGAGCUGAGAAGAAAACAGGCAACCGGAGGUUCAAUCCAUUCAGUUUAUUCUCCGAGGGACCAAAAAAGAUUUCCUGGCAAACCAUUACUGUGUCAAAAAGAUGAGGUUCUCGUGCUCAAGUUUGAGAAGUUCUACGCAGUUGUCC